UACGUAGGGUGCAAGCGUUAAUCGGAAUUACUGGGCGUAAAGCGUACGCAGGCGGCUUUGCAAGACAGGUGUGAAAUCCCCGGGCCUAACCUGGGAACUGCAUUUGUGACUGCAUGGCUAGAGUUUGUCAGAGGGGGGUGGAAUUCCACGUGUAGCAGUGAAAUGCGUAGAUAUGUGGAGGAACACCGAUGGUGAAGGCAGCCCCCUGGGAUGUGACUGACGCUCAUGUACGAAAGCGUGGGGAGCAAACAGG
rnacentral:rRNA from 1 species